rnacentral:misc_RNA from 1 species
GGCGGGUCAUAAUGUAAACGGUUAGACCGCAAACUAGAAAAGUAGAGCAGAUAACGAUGCUAACGAGAUUGUACUGAAGGUGGAGCCAAANACGGAGAUCGUCAGGAUUCAUUUGGGAGGCUUCGAUUGAGGUAACAAUAAUCAAGGGGACGAAACACAAGGUCAAUAGAUUAGAGAUAACAUAGUGGUAGCCGAGUUUGACAUACUUGAUGGAAGCCGUCGGGCUUGGUGGAUCCUAAUCUGGCCGCCGGACUCCAUGGCUGCUGCUCUUAUUAUUUACCUGAAGCGGGAGGUAGACUGUUAGCUUAGUCGUUAUACUAAUGGGAAUGUAAUAAAGAAAAAGAGCCUAAUGAAGAAAGGAAG